GACGAACGCUGGCGGCGUGCCUAAUACAUGCAAGUUGAGCGCUGAAGGUUGGUACUUGUACCGACUGGAUGAGCAGCGAACGGGUGAGUAACGCGUGGGGAAUCUGCCUUUGAGCGGGGGACAACAUUUGGAAACGAAUGCUAAUACCGCAUAAAAACUUUAAACACAAGUUUUAAGUUUGAAAGAUGCAAUUGCAUCACUCAAAGAUGAUCCCGCGUUGUAUUAGCUAGUUGGUGAGGUAAAGGCUCACCAAGGCGAUGAUACAUAGCCGACCUGAGAGGGUGAUCGGCCACAUUGGGACUGAGACACGGCCCAAACUCCUACGGGAGGCAGCAGUAGGGAAUCUUCGGCAAUGGACGAAAGUCUGACCGAGCAACGCCGCGUGAGUGAAGAAGGUUUUCGGAUCGUAAAACUCUGUUGGUAGAGAAGAACGUUGGUGAGAGUGGAAAGCUCAUCAAGUGACGGUAACUACCCAGAAAGGGACGGCUAACUACGUGCCAGCCGCCGCAGUAA
rnacentral:rRNA from 1 species